CGGAGCUGUGCGCGCGCGAGGCCAUAGAGCUACGGAGUAUGGGGGGGCGUGUAGAGUUGCCAUCGGGUAAGAACACGGUGGGUUCUGCAGUUCGGCUUCACGCGCGCCUACUCAGAAGGAAGCGACAUGAUGCAGCUCCCAGGAAAAUGCGUAUAGAGUUAUUACAAUUAGCAUUAAUAAUUUAAUUAGAACAUCUGGAGGGCCACGCACCUCCCCUCACUAAUUCAGGUUCUACAUCAGUGGCACACAAUUUCAGCUCACCAAAAGCCCAAAUGUCCGAUUUGCUGCUGAACUUGCUGUACAAAAGAACCUCUGGAGGGGACCACCGGACUGGAAAUUUGGAUCCCAUGGAGCUAAUGUAGUCAUCAUCCAAGACGUACCUGUGUAGACAGAUUUUGGUUGUGCUAGUUUAUAUGUUGCCUUACAGGAUCUUGUGCUUCCUAAAAGCCUAAAAGCUCCUCAGGAUGAACAUUCAUUCCAAUUUGUGUGCACAAAGCUUCUGUGGAGAUUAAACAAUGUUUGCUCUUUA